GAUGAACGCUAGCGGCAGGCCUAAUACAUGCAAGUCGAACGGUCCGCUUCGGCGGAUAGUGGCGCACGGGUGCGUAACACGUAUGCAACCUACCUUACAUUGGGGGAUAGCCUUUCGAAAGGUAGAUUAAUACCGCAUAAGACAGUAGCUGGGCAUCCAGUAGCUGUUAAAGAUUUAUCGAUGUAAGCUGGGCAUGCGUCCAAUUAGUUAGUUGGUGAGGUAAAGGCACACCAAGAGGAUGAUUGGUAGGGGAACUGAGAGGUCAAUCCCCCACACUGGCACUGAGAUACGGGCCAGACUCCUACGGGAGGCAGCAGUAGGGAAUAUUGGGCAAUGGCCGCAAGUCUGACCCAGCCCUGCCGCGUGCAGGAAGAAGGCGUUCUGCGUUGUAAACUGCUUUUAUAUAGGAAGAAACGACCCUUGCGAGGGGCAUUGACGGUAUUAUAUGAAUAAGCACCGGCUAACUCCGUGCCAGCAGCCGCCGUAAAAC
rnacentral:rRNA from 1 species